GGGUUGUGAGGUUAAGCGACUAAGCGUACACGGUGGAUGCCCUGGCAGUCAGAGGCGAUGAAGGACGUGCUAAUCUGCGAUAAGCGUCGGUAAGGUGAUAUGAACCGUUAUAACCGGCGAUUUCCGAAUGGGGAAACCCAGUGUGUUUCGACACACUAUCAUUAACUGAAUCCAUAGGUUAAUGAGGCGAACCGGGGGAACUGAAACAUCUAAGUACCCCGAGGAAAAGAAAUCAACCGAGAUUCCCCCAGUAGCGGCGAGCGAACGGGGAGCAGCCCAGAGCCUGAAUCAGUGUGUGUGUUAGUGGAAGCGUCUGGAAAGGCGCGCGAUACAGGGUGACAGCCCCGUACACAAAAAUGCACAUACUGUGAGCUCGAUGAGUAGGGCGGGACACGUGGUAUCCUGUCUGAAUAUGGGGGGACCAUCCUCCAAGGCUAAAUACUCCUGACUGACCGAUAGUGAACCAGUACCGUGAGGGAAAGGCGAAAAGAACCCCGGCGAGGGGAGUGAAAAAGAACCUGAAACCGUGUACGUACAAGCAGUGGGAGCCUCUUUAUGGGGUGACUGCGUACCUUUUGUAUAAUGGGUCAGCGACUUAUAUUCUGUAGCAAGGUUAACCGAAUAGGGGAGCCGAAGGGAAACCGAGUCUUAACUGGGCGUUAAGUUGCAGGGUAUAGACCCGAAACCCGGUGAUCUAGCCAUGGGCAGGUUGAAGGUUGGGUAACACUAACUGGAGGACCGAACCGACUAAUGUUGAAAAAUUAGCGGAUGACUUGUGGCUGGGGGUGAAAGGCCAAUCAAACCGGGAGAUAGCUGGUUCUCCCCGAAAGCUAUUUAGGUAGCGCCUCGUGAAUUCAUCUCCGGGGGUAGAGCACUGUUUCGGCAAGGGGGUCAUCCCGACUUACCAACCCGAUGCAAACUGCGAAUACCGGAGAAUGUUAUCACGGGAGACACACGGCGGGUGCUAACGUCCGUCGUGAAGAGGGAAACAACCCAGACCGCCAGCUAAGGUCCCAAAGUCAUGGUUAAGUGGGAAACGAUGUGGGAAGGCCCAGACAGCCAGGAUGUUGGCUUAGAAGCAGCCAUCAUUUAAAGAAAGCGUAAUAGCUCACUGGUCGAGUCGGCCUGCGCGGAAGAUGUAACGGGGCUAAACCAUGCACCGAAGCUGCGGCAGCGACACUAUGUGUUGUUGGGUAGGGGAGCGUUCUGUAAGCCUGUGAAGGUGUACUGUGAGGUAUGCUGGAGGUAUCAGAAGUGCGAAUGCUGACAUAAGUAACGAUAAAGCGGGUGAAAAGCCCGCUCGCCGGAAGACCAAGGGUUCCUGUCCAACGUUAAUCGGGGCAGGGUGAGUCGACCCCUAAGGCGAGGCCGAAAGGCGUAGUCGAUGGGAAACAGGUUAAUAUUCCUGUACUUGGUGUUACUGCGAAGGGGGGACGGAGAAGGCUAUGUUGGCCGGGCGACGGUUGUCCCGGUUUAAGCGUGUAGGCUGGUUUUCCAGGCAAAUCCGGAAAAUCAAGGCUGAGGCGUGAUGACGAGGCACUACGGUGCUGAAGCAACAAAUGCCCUGCUUCCAGGAAAAGCCUCUAAGCAUCAGGUAACAUCAAAUCGUACCCCAAACCGACACAGGUGGUCAGGUAGAGAAUACCAAGGCGCUUGAGAGAACUCGGGUGAAGGAACUAGGCAAAAUGGUGCCGUAACUUCGGGAGAAGGCACGCUGAUAUGUAGGUGAAGCGACUUGCUCGUGGAGCUGAAAUCAGUCGAAGAUACCAGCUGGCUGCAACUGUUUAUUAAAAACACAGCACUGUGCAAACACGAAAGUGGACGUAUACGGUGUGACGCCUGCCCGGUGCCGGAAGGUUAAUUGAUGGGGUUAGCGGUAACGCGAAGCUCUUGAUCGAAGCCCCGGUAAACGGCGGCCGUAACUAUAACGGUCCUAAGGUAGCGAAAUUCCUUGUCGGGUAAGUUCCGACCUGCACGAAUGGCGUAAUGAUGGCCAGGCUGUCUCCACCCGAGACUCAGUGAAAUUGAACUCGCUGUGAAGAUGCAGUGUACCCGCGGCAAGACGGAAAGACCCCGUGAACCUUUACUAUAGCUUGACACUGAACAUUGAGCCUUGAUGUGUAGGAUAGGUGGGAGGCUUAGAAGUGUGGACGCCAGUCUGCAUGGAGCCGACCUUGAAAUACCACCCUUUAAUGUUUGAUGUUCUAACGUGGACCCGUGAUCCGGGUUGCGGACAGUGUCUGGUGGGUAGUUUGACUGGGGCGGUCUCCUCCUAAAGAGUAACGGAGGAGCACGAAGGUUGGCUAAUCCUGGUCGGACAUCAGGAGGUUAGUGCAAUGGCAUAAGCCAGCUUGACUGCGAGCGUGACGGCGCGAGCAGGUGCGAAAGCAGGUCAUAGUGAUCCGGUGGUUCUGAAUGGAAGGGCCAUCGCUCAACGGAUAAAAGGUACUCCGGGGAUAACAGGCUGAUACCGCCCAAGAGUUCAUAUCGACGGCGGUGUUUGGCACCUCGAUGUCGGCUCAUCACAUCCUGGGGCUGAAGUAGGUCCCAAGGGUAUGGCUGUUCGCCAUUUAAAGUGGUACGCGAGCUGGGUUUAGAACGUCGUGAGACAGUUCGGUCCCUAUCUGCCGUGGGCGCUGGAGAACUGAGGGGGGCUGCUCCUAGUACGAGAGGACCGGAGUGGACGCAUCACUGGUGUUCGGGUUGUCAUGCCAAUGGCACUGCCCGGUAGCUAAAUGCGGAAGAGAUAAGUGCUGAAAGCAUCUAAGCACGAAACUUGCCCCGAGAUGAGUUCUCCCUGACUCCUUGAGAGUCCUGAAGGAACGUUGAAGACGACGACGUUGAUAGGCCGGGUGUGUAAGCGCAGCGAUGCGUUGAGCUAACCGGUACUAAUGAACCGUGAGGCUUAACCUUACAACGCCGAAGCUGUU
rnacentral:rRNA from 1 species